rnacentral:rRNA from 1 species
GGGGGAAUUUUGCGCAAUGGGCGAAAGCCUGACGCAGCAACGCCGCGUGCGGGAUGAAGGCCUUCGGGUUGUAAACCGCUUUCAGCAGGGAUGAAACUGACAGUACCUGCAGAAGAAGCCCCGGCUAACUACGUGCCAGCAGCCGCGGUAAUACGUAGGGGGCAAGCGUUAUCCGGAUUCAUUGGGCGUAAAGAGCGCGUAGGCGGCUUGUUAAGCGAGAUGUGAAAUCCGGGGGCUUAACCCGCGGCUU